rnacentral:rRNA from 1 species
AGAGCUUGCUCUCGGGUGACGAGCGGCGGACGGGUGAGUAAUGUCUGGGAAACUGCCUGAUGGAGGGGGAUAACUACUGGAAACGGUAGCUAAUACCGCAUAAUGUCGCAAGACCAAAGUGGGGGACCUUCGGGCCUCAUGCCAUCAGAUGUGCCCAGAUGGGAUUAGCUAGUAGGUGGGGUAACGGCUCACCUAGGCGACGAUCCCUAGCUGGUCUGAGAGGAUGACCAGCCACACUGGAACUGAGACACGGUCCAGACUCCUACGGGAGGCAGCAGUGGGGAAUAUUGCACAAUGGGCGCAAGCCUGAUGCAGCCAUGCCGCGUGUGUGAAGAAGGCCUUCGGGUUGUAAAGCACUUUCAGCGGGGAGGAAGGCGAUAAGGUUAAUAACCUUGUCGAUUGACGUUACCCGCAGAAGAAGCACCGGCUAACUCCGUGCCAGCAGCCGCGGUAAUACGGAGGGUGCAAGCGUUAAUCGGAAUUACUGGGCGUAAAGCGCACGCAGGCGGUCUGUCAAGUCGGAUGUGAAAUCCCCGGGCUCAACCUGGGAACUGCAUUCGAAACUGGCAGGCUAGAGUCUUGUAGAGGGGGGGUAGAAUUCCAGGUGUAGCGGUGAAAUGCGUAGAGAUCUGGAGGAAUACCGGUGGCGAAGGCGGCCCCCUGGACAAAGACUGACGCUCAGGUGCGAAAGCGUGGGGAGCAAACAGGAUUAGAUACCCUGGUAGUCCACGCCGUAAACGAUGUCGAUUUGGAGGUUGUGCCCUUGAGGCGUGGCUUCCGGAGCUAACGCGUUAAAUCGACCGCCUGGGGAGUACGGCCGCAAGGUUAAAACUCAAAUGAAUUGACGGGGGCCCGCACAAGCGGUGGAGCAUGUGGUUUAAUUCGAUGCAACGCGAAGAACCUUACCUGGUCUUGACAUCCACAGAACUUACCAGAGAUGGUUUGGUGCCUUCGGGAACUGUGAGACAGGUGCUGCAUGGCUGUCGUCAGCUCGUGUUGUGAAAUGUUGGGUUAAGUCCCGCAACGAGCGCAACCCUUAUCCUUUGUUGCCAGCGGUUAGGCCGGGAACUCAAAGGAGACUGCCAGUGAUAAACUGGAGGAAGGUGGGGAUGACGUCAAGUCAUCAUGGCCCUUACGACCAGGGCUACACACGUGCUACAAUGGCAUAUACAAAGAGAAGCGACCUCGCGAGAGCAAGCGGACCUCAUAAAGUAUGUCGUAGUCCGGAUUGGAGUCUGCAACUCGACUCCAUGAAGUCGGAAUCGCUAGUAAUCGUAGAUCAGAAUGCUACG